rnacentral:rRNA from 1 species
AUGAGCAAGGCCCUGUGCCCACGGUAUCGCGGACUCUCAACCUAUGAGAAGGAAUACUUAGCCGUGGUGGUGGUCGUUGACCAAUGGAGACCUUAUCUCCAGCACAACGAGUUUGUGAUACACACGGAUCAAAAGAGCCUAGUUCACCUGGAGGAGCAACGUCUGACGACGCCAUGGCAGCAAAAGGCCUUCACAAAACUCCUGGGCCUCCGUUACACCAUCAAGUACAAGAAAGGAGUGGAGAACGGCGCAGCUGAUGCUCUUUCUCGAUUAUAUCACUAA